rnacentral:rRNA from 1 species
AUACGUAGGAUCUGAGCAUUAUCCGGAGUGACUGGGCGUAAAGAGUUGCGUAGGGGGAUGUUUAAGUCGAUGGUGAAAUCUGGAGGCUCAACCAUUCAGACUGUUAUCUAAACUGGACAUCUCGAGAGCGUCAGGGGUGACUGGAAUUUCUAGUGUAGGAGUGAAAUCCGUAGAUAUUAGAAGGAACACCGAGAGCGUAGGGAGGUCACUAGGGCGUUUCUGACACUAGGGCACGAAAGGGUAGGGAGAAAAGGGGAUUAGAUCCCCCGGUAGUCUACGCCGUAAACGAUGGAUGCUAGCUUUGGGGGGUAUCGACCCCUUCCGUAGCGAAGCUAACGCGUUAAGCAUCCCGCCUGUGUAGUACGAUCGCAAGAUUAAAACUUAAAGGAAUUGACGGGG